GACGAACCGUACGAACGUUAUUCGGAAUCACUGGGCUUAAAGGGUGCGUAGGCGGCGCUGAAAGUUGGGUGUGAAAUCCCUCGGCUCAACCGAGGAACUGCAUUCAAAACUACAGUGCUUGAGGGAGACAGAGGUGAGCGGAACUUAGGGUGGAGCGGUGAAAUGCGUUGAUAUCCUAAGGAACACCCGUGGCGAAAGCGGCUCACUGGGUCUCUUCUGACGCUGAGGCACGAAAGCUAGGGGAGCGGAACGGGG
rnacentral:rRNA from 1 species